rnacentral:lncRNA from 1 species
AUGGGUGUCAACAAUCUCCUCUCGAAGCGGGUAUCCACAGCCUGCCAAUGGUAUGAUUCUCUUUCCGUCUUUAUUUUCAUUGAAGUUACAUACGCACAGAUUUUUAAGUGCCAAAUUGUUCUGUUUUUUUUUUUUUCUUUUUUUGCAGAAAAACAGCGAUCUCCCCAGUUUCCCCUCCCUAGAGGCAACCACUUUCAGCUCUUGUGGCAGAAAAUAAUUCCAAGAUAAAGAUAAACUGUGACACAAAGGGAUUAAUUUGUCCAAAGUUGCAAAAAGAGAAAAUGAAAGAAUCGGGCUUCUGACCCCCUCUGCUGUAGCUGCCUUCAACACACAGAAACGUGAGGUUUCUCCCGUAAUAUCCUUGCUUUUGGUCUCUGCAAGCCUUCAUGUACUCUGGUCCCUCUUAGUCUAUUAGUCAGCAAGUUCACAUUCAGCAUUCACACGUGUGCAGAAUCGCUGUGUUCACUGUGGAGGCCUGAAGAUUCCUUCCAGGAGUGUAGACUCUACAAACAGAAGGCUCUGCCAAUCUGGAAAUGAGCAUUUGGGUACAGAAUGCUGUCCUCAUUAGAACAGGAAAAGCACAGUGAGAUCUGGGCGCUCAGAAGUCACGGACAGCACAUCUGUGAUGGCUAUCCAGGGGUGUGCUUAGUCUCUGUGUCCCCCAGGUGGAUCUGUCACUUCUCUCCCACCUCUAUGAUUGUUUUGUAUGGCAUCCUGAAUUUUAGCUGCUGCUGUGCUGUUUUAAACUCU